rnacentral:tRNA from 1 species
UUACUAGUAGUGGAGUGGCUUGCUACUUUCAAUCUCAGUGGUAGAGCGGUCGGCUGUUAACUGACUGGUCGUAGGUUCAAAUCCUACUUGGGGAGC